rfam:Pichia kudriavzevii strain SD108 scaffold00011, whole genome shotgun sequence.
CCAAAUGAUGACUGUGAACCGUUUCACGUUAAAUAUUCGGUGAAUCUUUGUGUGCCUUAGAAUAAACAUGCAUCACCAUCUGACU